rnacentral:rRNA from 1 species
CCUACGGGUGGCAGCAGUGGGGAAUAUUGCACAAUGGGGGAAACACUGAUGCAGCGACGCCGCGUGAGUGAAGAAGUAUCUCGGUACGUAAAGCUCUAUCAGCAGGGAAGAAAAUGACGGUACCUGACUAAGAAGCCCCGGCUAAGUACGUGCCAGCAGCCGCGGUAAUACGUAGGGGGCAAGCGUUAUCCGGAUUUAAUGGGUGUAAAGGGAGCGUAGACGGGAGCACAAGUCUGGAGUGAAAUCCCGGGGCUUAACCCCGGAACUUCUUUGGAAACUGUGCGGCUGGAGUGCAGGAGGGGUAAGCGGAAUUCCUAGUGUAGCGGUGAAAUGCGUAGAUAUUAGGAGGAACACCGGUGGCGAAGGCGGCUUACUGGACUGUAACUGACGUUGAGGCCCGAAAGCGUGGGGAGCAAACAGGAUUAGAUACCCGGGUAGUC